rnacentral:lncRNA from 1 species
GCCAGAGAGUGGUGGGGCCACAUAGUAUUUGUUACAGAGAGUGGAGUGGUGUCCAUUGUCGUGACUUGUUGGAGAGUUCGAGCCGGACGGCUGAAGCUCGGUUGGGAUGUCUGGUGGAGCGGAAUAACUCUCUGUCUCAGUAAUCUAAGAGAAGCUUAGAUAUUUUCGAGGUUGCUGACGGGUUAACUAUUGUUGGGUGCCUUAGGCAUUGAUGCUGCAGACGGAAGUCAUCUACCGUAGAAGUUCGGAUGGAAACUUUCUAUUGGAGAAAUCUUGCUAGAGUCUGAUUGCUAGAGAAGUCCGUUUGAAAUUUUUCUGAUGUAGAAGCUUGUCUGAAGACUGUCUGCUGGAGAGGUCCGGUUGCAUGAGAAAUCUGAUAGAAGGUCGACCGAUAGCAGAAUUCGGAAGGUGCUAUAGAAGGUUGACCGAUAGAAGAGUCCGAAAGGCAUUAUGGAAGUUCAUCCGCUAGAGGAGUCUGGAGGACACUGUGGAAGGUCGACCGUUGGAGGGGUCCGGAGGGAAUUUGUCCUUUGGAGGGGUCUGGUUGGCACUGUUGAAGUCCGAUUGGCGCUGUUGAAGGUUGAUGGUUGGAGAGGUAUAGAAGACACCAAAGACAGUCAGUCACUGUAGAAAUCUGGAUGCUGGAGCCCGUCCGUUGUAGAAGUUUGUCUGGAAUCCAUCCGCUAUAGAAGUUCGAAUGGAGUUUGAUUCUUAUAGGAGUCCAAAAGGAGGUCGCUUACUAUAGAAGCUCGGAUGGAGAUCAAUUGCCGUGAA